CAUGGGAUUGCUAAGGACCUCACUAAGCGCCUCCUUCUUCGCUUCCUUGACUGAGCUUUGUUUCCUUCCUUCUCUUCAAAAUCCCAGUCAGUAUGUAAAUCUCGCCACAAAUUCAAACCCCAAAACCCUGAUUUCCCCGAUUUCCCCCAAAAAUCAUCUUCUAAUUUUCCACCGAAUCCCCAUCAAACCCGCCCAAAUUCACAUCAAUCCAUAAGCUUCAGUUUCCCUCUAGGGUUUUCAGAGCUCUGUAAUUGCAGAGAUAGAAAGUGGGUAGUCGUCAAAAUGCUAGGUGGGUUGUCCGGAGACCUUCCUCUGCCCUCUUCAAUGGAGAAAUAGAAGUCAUACAAUAGCACAGUGUGGUUGAGCAGCACAAAGUUAGUCCAGUCCGAGGUAGGUACAACAAACGCACCCUUACGGGCGCUAAAAUAGUCCUCGUGAACAAAUAAAAUGAGAAAGUAUCAAAAGCUCUAAAACCGGACGGUGCCGUUUUAUCUUUUCUUCAACCCUGCAGCCCGCCCUGACUGCAUACGUUAAACCCUAAAAGGUGAACUUGUAUAUCCGUUAAACCCCAAAAAACCGCAGUGACUGACAGAAGAGUUCAACAAUGGCCGGCUCCGAAGCCACCCCUAAAGCGCAACGAUCAAAGAACAAAAAGAGAAAGCAGAGGAGUCUUGGAGCGCUCCCAAGACCUUCCAAAACGCAGCGUAUUAAUCUCUCAGAGAAAGAGACUGAACCGCAAGACAUGAUGGAAGUUAAAGGAGCUGAAAAACACGAGCUGAGAGAACCCAGUCACGAUCUCGAAGAAGCUGGUCCAUGGCGGAACCUGGAGUUGGUUUUGUCAAUCCAGAACAAAGAAAUUGAUCUUCAGAAGAAGGUGGAACUAGCUUAUGGUUUAGUGAUAUCGAGCGUAAAAGAAGAAGGCGGCAAGAGUGACCAGGAUAAUCAAGCAGUGAAUAUGUCACGUUUAAUAAUUUUUGUCAAUGAUUGGAUCCAAUCAUUGUUGAUUUCUUCAGGAAAGAAAAUUCAGAGUGUUGGAGUGAAGCAUCAAGCCGAAGUUAAUGACACAAAUUUGGAUAUUAGGUGCUGGGAAAUUUUCAAAUUCUGCUUGGAGGAGUCUUUGAAAUUGAAUGUUUCUCUAAAUUUCUCACGGAACCUUGUACGCUCUAUUGAUUUGAUAGCUAGAAAUGCACUGUCCUUAUUGAACAAAACAUCUUCACGCCCGACUUUGUCUUUCAGUAGUGAAGAGUUGCAAUUGUACAAUACUGUGCUUGAUUGCAUAUCUUUGGUAUUUGCAUCCCAUGGAGGCAUGUCAGAUGAAAAUUUAGAUCUGUGGGUUUCAACUGUAGGUGCAGUGCUUGAUUUACUCCACAAAUUUUACGUUGAAAAUCUUGUUUGUGGCAAUGGAGGUGACUUUGUUUUCCGAUUUUUGUGCUUGGUGCUUGAGCCAUUUGCCAAGUUUUUGAGGGCUCACCCAGCUUGGAAGAACGGGUUUCGUGAUUUUAUAGAUAAACUCCUUGAGCCUCUGUUGCAUCUCUUGGGUCUCUUGCAUCUUCAGAUUGAUGAAAGUAAUCCUGGUUGGACAAGGAGCUUACUGAAGCUAGUUGAAGAAGUCCUAUCUCAUGGGCUAUAUCACCCAAUCCACAUUGAUGGAUUUUUGAGCUUGUGCAGUAGUGAAAAAUAUGCCACAUCCAAUUCUGGGAAGUCACAGGACUCCAAAACAACGCUCAAGAGUUAUCACAGACAUCUAUUUGUAAACUGGAAAGAAUGCUUUGGCAGUGGAAAGCAUAGGAGAACUAUUUCUCUUGCUCAUCGAUCAAGUUAAAAAGCUAAAAAGAGCUUCAGUGCUGACUGAAAGUACCAAAAUGAUGGGGAAUAAUGACUGCUCAACUAGUUUCAAUGCAGAAACACGAAACUCACUUCUUGAUUUUUUUGUACAGAUUAUGGAAGCUGCAAUUGGGACCUGUAUUGUUGGAUGUCCAUUGCACGCUUAAAUCUGUUAGUAAUUUACUUUGUGGCUUUAUGCAUGAAAAGUUUAUGUGAGAACAGAGGACACAUCUGAGGGAGCUUGCCUUAAUUUCUUGAAGAAGGUUUAUAAUAUGAUUAUAUCAUUGUCCUCCAAUUUAAUUCAGUCAUCGAAACAUGAUAUUGUUAACGGGACACGAGUGGAAACUUUAACUUUAAUAACCAAUGAGGUGCUUUCUGCUGUGGGGUACCUAUUGGAAAUUGAAUAUGAGGUUAUAGAGAAGGAUUUGGUAAGCAUGUGGCUUCUGAUGCUUUCUCACUUAGCUGUUGGGCUUUCUCUGAUGGAUGCUCCGGAUCAGUGCUCCUUAUCUUUCAAGAUAACUGAUAUUGGAUGCCAAUUUGUUGUUCUCUAUAGUCAACUUCGCCAGGUGAAUAAUACUAUUUUUGCAUUGUGUAAAGCAAUAAGGCUUCUAAGUUCACAUAAUGGUGAUGGUGAACGGAACUAUACUAGAUUUGUGAUUUCUUUACACGGUGAAGCUCAUGCAAAAUCAGUGGAAAUGUUAUUAUGCUCACAAGAGUUUAAGAUUGCAAUCCAACAAGCUGUUAAGUCCAUACCAGAAGGACAAGCAAGUGGGUGUAUUGGUCGGUUAACAAUGGAUGUAUCAGAAUGUCUAGAGUGGAUGAAAAUUAGUUGUUCAAAAUCUGAUGAAACAGAAGUUGGCAGACAGGAUGUGCAAAGUAGCGUGCAGGGUUUUAAUCUGGAAGCUGAGCUUUUGGGGAGAGUGUUGUCUGAAAUAUAUGCACUAGUGCUAGACUCACUGUUUGCCACAACUGGAAACUGUAACCUCCUUGGAGUUUCUAAAAGGACCUUAUAACAGUACUUUGUCCUUGCAUGGGUAGUCUGGUUGGACUACAGCCAGAUGCUUUAAACUAGUUCCUUUUUUCUGUUGCUGGAAAAGGUCUUGACAACGAGACAGCUGAAAAUAAAAAUAAUUUGCUGAUAUUUGGAUUGUCCACUCAUUGGGUUUUUGUGUUCUUCUUUCGAUUGUAUAUGUCCUGCCAAAGCUUAUAUAGGUCGGCAAUGAUCCUUAUGCCUUCAGAUUUAUCAAGAGAGAUGUCAGCAGCAAUGGGAGAUUCAUUCGCAUCAUACUCUGGUAGUGAUUGGAUGUAGAUGACUGACUGGACCAAUGGGGGGUAUUUUUCUUGGAUCAAGCAACCUUCAGCUUCUCUUCUUGUUGUUAUUCAAUCCAUUUCAAAUAUCUAUUGUAAAAACUGUGCGACAGAUUCUUGGUCUCUGACUUAUGUAAUGCAUGCUAUGGCUGUUAGAAGGCUUGUUGAUUUGAAUAGGCAUAUAAAGUCUUCUGAGUAUGUGAUGCAAAAUAAUAAAAAUCUGGUGCAAGUCAGGUUGCUUGAUGAUGCUGGCUUGUCAAGGUGUCAUAAAAGAAUAAAAAAACUGGAAAGGCACAUCUCUACCUUGAGGGAAGAGGCUACAGGUCUUACUGGUUUUAUGAUGGAGCACCUAUCAUUAGUGUCGGAAUAUCAACAGCCAAUCUUCACUCCGGAUGAUACAAGCUGUAAUAAAAUGGUUGCCUAUGAAAGUGAUGAAUGGGAUUUCAAUUUUUCUGCUUUGAACAAGAAGUCAUUACCAACUGCAAUUUGGUGGAUUCUUUGCCACAAUAUUGAUACCCAUGUGACUAAAAAGAAUUUGAAGACAUUUAUUUCUCUUUUAAUCCAAACUUCCCUUCCUUGUGUAAGAAGCAGCUUCGGGGUGGUUAGAGAGCACAAUACUCAUGCUGACAGGAAUAGGAUGAAGAAAGUAACCUUGCACCAAAUCUCAUCACAAUGCUUCAUCGACUCCAUUCUGUAUGAGCAAAAGAUUUGUCUGCAGGUAUUUUGCAUCGAGUUUUUGCCAUGCAUUGGAGAAAUCGACAAUACAAUUCAUGAGUGGCGCUGCAUCUGGCAAUAUUGAUUUCAAAACAUCACCUAAUUGGCCGAAAGUUUUAAAUGACCUGGAGAACUCAUCAGCUGUCGUUUCCUCUGACAAACACAACAUAUUUGACUGUUCCUCAGUAGCAAAUUCGGUCACUCAUUCUUCUGAUAAGCUGCUUGCAGGAAGUUGCAAGGAACAAAAAGCCCUACCAUCACAUCAUGAAAUUUACAGCUUGCCGGAGUUUACUUAAUCUUUUGUGCCACAUGCCAAAAGGUCAUUUGACUUCAAAAUCAAUUUCACUUUAUGUGUCUUCUAUUCUCAACCUUGAAAGGCUUCUUGUUGGCGGCUUAUUAGAUUGUCAGAAUGCUUUGAACUCACAUCAUUAUCACGAGCUCUUCAGAUUGUUUGUGUCUUGUCAUAAGGCCUUAAAACAUGUAAUUCUGGCUUGUGAAGAGGAGACAGUAGCUAGUUAAACCUCACAUGCUUCAGUGUUCCUCGAGGAUACAUUUCCUAUGUUAUGGCUUUACAAGUCAGUUUAUGCGGUUCUUGGGACUCAAGAGUCAUUUUCAAAAGAUAAUCGUCACCCAUUUAAUGGAAUGAUGUUGUCACUGAUGGAUCACACAUUUUAUGUGUUUCUGACAUCAAGUAAAUACCAACUUAAUCAUGCUGUUUGUCUCCCCAAAGCUGCCGAAUUGAAUGCUGAACCUGUCUAUGAACAUAGUAAUUCAAGUGAAUCUGAACCGUGCUUGGAUCCUUUCAAAUGUGUUGAAGCCAGGAAAAGUGUAGCCAUUAUUGCUAAGAUUUUGACAGAACAGAUGCAAAGCUUACUAUUUAAUUUGAAGGAGGGCCCUUAUAAAGGAAAACUUGGGAUUGAUGUUGAUGCUCUAAAUUUGAACAAGUUUUCAUCCUUAAUUUCUUGCCUUAGUGGGUUUUUAUGGGGCCUAGCACUUGUUGUGAACCUUUCAGAUGCGAGAAAUAGUGAUCAUGAAGCAAACUCAUCACGUCGGAAGCUUGAACCCAUCACCGAACUCAACCUUUGUAUAAAUGUUUUUGCAGAAUUUUCUAGUAUUCUCUUACAAAUGUUCUUUUUGACGAUAAUCAACAGUCCAGAACUUUAUGUGAUGCUCAAAAUAUUCAAAAGACAAACUGCAAUGUAGAUUCAGGUGCAGAGGAGUUUUUAACAGAUGGCACUGGCGUUGAGACUGAUAUUGCACUCGGCGGACUGCAUAAUGAAUCAGGAGCUGCAAUGACCUGCUCAGCAUCACCUGACAUCCAUGAUAACUCGGGGUCUGGUAAUGUCCGUAGAAGAAAGUUGCAUUUGAAAGGUGCAGUUUUGGCUGCCAGUGCAUUGACUAAUGUUGAUUCAUUUGAAUUGCAAUUUUUAAAUAAGCCUUUGUUGAGACGCCUGCUAAAAGGUGAUUACCUGGACGCAGCAUUUUUGCUCAGGCAGUUGUUUGUUGCAUCAUCAGCUAUUUUGAAGUUAAGUUUGCAUAUGAAUAGUGCUCCCCUGUCCCCAAGCUUCGUGUAUAUUUUUAAUGGCGUCACACAACUCUUCUUGUUGGAAUCAGUGGACAUGGAUCAGGUGCCACACUUUUUUUAUUUUGUGUGUUAAGAUGGUGUUCUUAAGUACGUGGAAGAAUUGGCGAAUCAUUUUCCACUGACUAAUCCGUUAUCCAGAAAUUUGUAUGACAAGAUGGUUCAGCUACAGUUACAGGCAUUGGGGAAAUGCAUAACUUUACAGGGAAAAAGAGCCACCCUGGUAUCUCAUGAGACAGAGUCGAGCACCAAAAUGAUCCAUUAUCCUAUGGAUUUUCUGAAGCUUCUCUGUCUGGCUGGCCAUACUUAUUGGAUGAACUUAAAGCUAGGUUAGGGUCAUCGUUCAUAGUGUUCAUAAAGAAACCAUCAGAGUUGCAUCUUUUAUCUGCUCUACAAGCUAUAGAGAGAGAAGUAGUCGGUGUGUGGGAAGGGUGCACUAUGAGUUAUGACAUACAUACUGGAAGUGUAGAUGGGGGAAAGGUUUCUUCAUUUGUUGCUGCUGGCCUGGAUUGCUUGGAUUUGGUACUGGAGUUUGUUUCAGGACGCAAACGUUUGAAGGUCGUUCAAAGACACAUCCAGAGCUUCAUUGCUAGCGCCUUCAAUGUUAUUCUACACUUGCAAAGUCCAGUAAUCUUUUAUGAGAGAAUGAUCCAGAGGAAAGGUGAUACUAAUAAUGAUCCAGAUCCAGGAUCAGUCAUUCUUAUGUGUGUUGAUGUACUGGUUAGAAUUUCUGGCAAACAUGCUCUGUACCAAAUGGACCCUGCCAUGUAGCACAAUCUUUAUGUAUACCUUCAGCACUUUUUCAAGACUUCCAUCUUUUAAAACUUUCGGAAGCUCCCGUUCCUGAUGAUUCUUCAACAAUUCCAAAUAACCAAGUUUCUAAUCCAGUAGCAAGUUUUCAUUACUCUGGCAUGGAUAGGCAAUACUCGGUUGACCUGUUUUCUGCCUGCUGCCGGUUGUUGCAUAAUGUUCUGAAGCAUCACAAAAGUGAAUGUGAAUGGUGCGUUGCUACACUUGAAGCUUCUGUUCGUGUACUUCUUCAUUGUUUGGAGACGGUGGACGCUGAUGCAGUCGUCAAGAAAGGUUUCUUUUCAUGGGAAGUGGCUGAGGGAGUCAAAUGUGCUGGUAGUCUCCGAAGGAUUCACAAAGAGAUAAGACAUCAAAAGGAAGUCUUUGGUCCGCAUUGUGCCCAAUUUUUAUCCAAUUACAUAUGGAUUUAUUCAGGAUAUGGCCCCUGUAAAACAGGCAUCAAAAGGGAAAUAGACGAAGCUCUAAGACCAGGUGUGUACGCAUUAAUAGAUACUAGCUCGCCAGAUGAUCUUCAACGUCUUCAUACCAUAUUUGGGGAGGUCCUUGCAGAAACACCUUGGCAACUCUAAAACAUGAUUACGAACUCAAUUUCCAAUACCAGGGAAAAGUCUAACCGAAGCUUGUUUCCAGGGAAAAGUCCAGAACUCUUGUAACAUGUAAGUUGUAACAAAUAGGAUAACAUGUGUAUGAGAUCAUAAACUUUGUAGUCAUACCUUUCUCAUUCUUUGAGCUACAAUUGGUAGCAAAUCCUCAUCGAAGAACAAAGCUGUUUGUUCAUAAUAGUGACUUGGGCCUAACAUAUGCAUGUUAAUCGGCCGUCUAAUCCUUUUUGGGGUCUGAAUUCUAUUGCUAAUUUAAGCAUAAGUUUAAGCGUAAAUGAUGCAUUGUCAAAUGUUUCCACAUUUUUGUUCGGUUUGAUUCGUGGUAUUAGAGCUUGUUUGCGAACGUAAAAAGCACUUCUGCAUACAAGCGUUUUUUCUGAGAACUGCACUGAUUACGAUCUCUACUAUAUGAUCAUGAUGGAUUUUCACCUAAAAUGUACUCAACCCACCCCCUUAUUCAGUUGGGCCCCUUUCAUUUUGAUUAUUUAGUGGUGUUAUAUUCCUAAAUGGUAUGAUUAGGCAGCUGGUAUGAAAACGAUUGAUAAAGCAACCACCAAACCAAAUGCUGAGUCCAAAAGAAAACACCAAAUACUUGUGCGGUUGAGAUUAUUAGAUAUACAAAAGUUCUUGUUUAUAUGUCAAUUGGGUUUCAAAUUUCGAAUUCCAUCCACUUUGUUUCUCUGUACAAACAUCAACUUCCAUUGACAAAGGCCAUUAAAUCUUUGAUGGGACAUCAUCACUGUUGCAGAAGAGAAGCCCCCUCCUCGUACCCGGUUCUGGUUUUCUUGGCAGUGGUCGCGGUGCUUCUUCUUCUGUCAUCUUUGAUCUCCUUCGAUGUUGAAACCCCGAAAUUUGAGAUCAAUUGGGGGCUCAUAGCCACGUCGUUGCUGUUGCUAGCGGUUGUGCAUUGGUUGUCGUCGGAAACUCCCAAGGCGCCAUGUUUUGUGCCUCCACCGUGUUGCAAGUGUAGGCACGCCUGCAAGUGUGGCUAUUACUAAAAUGGUUGUGUUAUUUAUCCACUGUAUCAUCAAACACUGCGUUUCAUGAGAGUUGGUUUGUCUAGUACGCAUUUUAGGUAAGAGGAUUCAUGUCCUUGGUUUAUUCAUUGUACGUAAUGAGUUAAAGUUGUUAAUACUACAUCAAAUUUGGGUUAAUUAUGGUUGUUGUAACGUUAUUAAAAAUUCGAGUCUUGAUUGUAAAUUUUGCAUGUUUUUUGUUGUAUUUUAUUCUAUCGUUACGUGGUGA